UACGUAGGGUGCGAGCGUUGUCCGGAAUUAUUGGGCGUAAAGGGCUCGUAGGCGGUUUGUCGCGUCGGGAGUGAAAACUCAGGGCUUAACCCUGAGCCUGCUUCCGAUACGGGCAGACUAGAGGUAUGCAGGGGAGAAUGGAAUUCCUGGUGUAGCGGUGAAAAUGCGCAGAUAUCAGGAGGAACACCGGUGGCGAAGGCGGUUCUCUGGGCAUUACCUGACGCUGAGGAGCGAAAGUGUGGGGAGGCGAACAGG
rnacentral:rRNA from 1 species